rnacentral:rRNA from 1 species
GACAGAGGUCCCAAGCGUUAGGCGGAAUCACUGGGCUUAAAGCGUGUGUAGGCGGAUUUGUAAGUACCUUGUGAAAUCCCACGGCUCGACCGUGGAACUGCUUGGUAUACUGCUUAUCUUGGGCCAUCUAGGGGCGAGCGGAACAAACGGUGGAGCGGUGAAAUGCGUAGAUAUCGUUUGGAACGCCAAUGGUGAAAACAGCUCGCUGGGGAUGUGCCGACGCUGAGAUACGAAAGCCAGGGGAGCGAACGGG